rnacentral:rRNA from 1 species
AUGCAUGCCACUGUUCGUCUAAACUCUAGGUCGAAGGAAUAAACUGGCAGUAGCUAAUUAGCUUGUCAUGGUCGUUGUCACGCAGGAAUUCCUGAUGAAGCGAGCAUGGCGCUGACCGGGGCGAGGGAGAAGCUGGGCGGCGAGGAGAGGCCGUGGGAAUGCUGCGACCGGACCAUCUGCACCAGGUCGAUGCCGCCGCUCUGCCUCUGCCUGGACCAGGUCGAGCGAUGCGCCGCCGCGUGCAAGCGCUGCGAGCCGGCCGACUCUGACCGGUCCCUCUACGUGUGCCGCGACCAGUACUUCGGCGACCCCGGGCCCAGCUGCACCGACGGCGACGCCGUUGCCGCCGCCGGCGGUAACUAG